GAUGAACGCUGGCGGCGUGCCUAAUACAUGCAAGUCGAGCGGACAGACGAUGUGCUUUCUCCUCUCCUGUUAGCGGCGCACGGGUGAGUAACACGUGGAUAAACCACCUCUACUACUUGGAUAAAUUCGGGAAACCGGAGCUAAUAUAGGAUAAUAUCUGGAACUGUAUGGUUCAAUGGUGAAAGACGGUUUUGCUGUUGCUUGUAGAUGGAUGCGCGCCGCAUUAGCUCGUUGGUAUGGUAACGGCAUACCAAGGCGACGAUGCGUAGCCGAGCUGAGCGGAGGAUGUGCCACACUGGAACUGAGACACGGUCCAGACUCCUACGGGAGGCAGCAGUGGGGAAGCUUACACAAUGGGCGAAAGCCUGACGGAGCAACGCCGCGUGAGUGAUGAAGUGCUUCGGAUCGGAAAACACUGUUAUUAGGGAAGAACAGAAGUGUAAGUAACUAUGCACGGGUUGACGGUACCUAAUCAGAAAGCCACGGCUAACUACGUG
rnacentral:rRNA from 1 species